rnacentral:lncRNA from 10 species
AGUUAAUUAUUUUUUUCUCCUGUAGCUGCAAACUUAAUUUUUUUAAGAAAACUAAAUGGAUGAUUAUUCUUCACAUUCGUUGCUUGCCAGAAAGCCCAAACGUACUGACAGUGUGGAAGCCACUUCAGAGAGGCCUAUGGACCCUCUGACCCACUAACUUUUUGAGAUGAUCAAGCUAAGAUGACGUCAUUCGGAUGGGCCCUAAUUCAGUAUGACUGCAUCCUUAUGAAAAGGGGAAAUCGGACACACAGGGAGAAUGCCAUGUAAAGUUGAAGGCAAGGUGAUGCAUCGACAAGUCAAGGAAAGCCAAAGGCUGCCAGCAAACCAAAGAAGCUCAGCAAGAGGCAUGGAACAGAUUCUCCCUCAGGCAGAACGAAUGCUGCUAAUACCUUGAUCUUGGACUUCUAGCCUCCAGAACUGUAAGACAAUACACUUCUGUUGUUUUAAGCCAUCCAAAGUAGUAUCGCGUUCAUGCUAGUUUGUUAUGCAGCCAGCGCAAACUAAUACAUACCCCAA